AAAAAUACUCCUUCCUUGAUCCAGAUGAUUGGAGGAGGAAUUAAGUGCGAUGAAUAAAGAAAGGCAAGCUAAAAAUUUAUAUCCGCACUAUUUAUCCCGUGGAGGUUACAAGAUGCUUGAGGAGAGGAUCAUGCAGAAUGACUUUAAGGCGAUGUAGGAAGCUGCAAAAUCUGAUCCUAGUAUCGUUGUUCAGACCCCACCUCCUCCUCCACGUCAUAGAAAAUGGAAGGAAGCAAGGAUAAAGAAGGGUCAAUAUAUUAAUCCAGCAGUUGCUGAGAUUGCUAAAAAAAUUGAGGUACUUGAAGAGCAAAGCAGUGAAGGUUCAUUUAGUCCGAGUGGAAGGAUGGA